UUUAGUUCGCAACGGAAAAUUAAGCCACCCAGACUGAGUUAAGCGUAUUAAAAUAAAAAAUGUUCUCUUUGUUAGUAUUUCCUCGAAAUGUCCACAGAUCUUAUAUUCUCCUCCCUGCAAAUGCUUAAGGAGUAUUUUGUUGCAAAAAGUGCAGUAAUGGCUCUCUCCUGACGAACAGGAGCUCAGAAAGGAGGCGGGUACAGAAUUUUAGAUGAGAGGGUGCGAUUGGUUUCAACAGAUGGGUGGCGUUUUUCGAAAUCCAACAUGAUUGGUUUCACUUGAAAUUUGUUACAUGGAGGGUUUCGGAGUAGCUGAUUACCAAGGCCGAGAAAUAUAUGCAUGAACAAUGAUCGGAUCUAAACCAAAUUAGUA